rnacentral:sRNA from 1 species
ACUUGUUGCGGGGCCAUGAGCUGUGGGCGCCCGCGGCAUCAGACAAACACUCUGCCACGGGAACAUCGUGGCAUUUUCGGGCGUU